GCUGGUUAGGGCGACGCCUAACUGUCAGCACAAGUGUCUGGUGCAGCGUGAAGUCAAGGGGAUCUGUUUCAGAGAGUGUGAACACGGGGAUAUUCAUCCUUCCAGCGUUCGAAUCGUGGUUGGGCGUCUUCCCGGAAGGAGAGAUGUCUUCCAUGUUAAAGCGACGGGCACCGCGUCAGGCUGGCAACAGAACAGCGUUACCGCUCCGUUUGGACGGGUGGCAGGACCGUGAAACUCUCCACUCUCACUCCCAGGGGAGUGACCUUUGAUUUU
rfam:Nannochloropsis gaditana CCMP526 unplaced genomic scaffold scaffold029, whole genome shotgun sequence.